rnacentral:rRNA from 1 species
CCCGACAUUCCGGAUAAUUGACCGAAAGGUCUUGUAAUACGGGCGAGGGUCUGCGGGGGCAUCCCGGCCAGAAGGAAGGUGCAAGCAUUUAUGUUUGUGUCGUGCUGGGAGGAGUUCGCGGCUUAUCAGCUAGUUGGUGGGGUAAUGGCUCACCAAGGCGACGACGAGUAGCUGGUCUGAGAGGAUGGUCAGCCACAUUGGAACUGAGACACUGUCCAG